AAUUCGAUGAUACGCGAGGACCUUACCUGGCUUAAUGUAGAGUGCAUUUUCGUAGAGAUAGGAAUUCCCUUCGGGGCUUUCUGCAAGGUGCUGCAUGGUUGUCGUCAGCUCGUGCCGUGAGGUGUCGGGUUAAGUCCCGCAACGAGCGCAACCCUUGUCUUUAAUUGCCAUCAUUGAGUUGGGCACUUUAAAGAGACUGCCGGUGUUAAACCGGAGGAAGGUGGGAUGACGUCAAGUCCUCAUGGCCUUUAUGCCCAGGGCUACACACGUGCUACAAUGGGUGGUACAAAGAGAUGCAAUCUCGCAAGAGCAAGCAAACCUCAAAAAGCCAUCCUCAGUUCGGAUUGGAGUCUGCAACUCGACUCCAUGAAGUCGGAAUCGCUAGUAAUCGCGGAUCAGCACGCCGCGGUGAAUACGUUCCCGGGCCUU
rnacentral:rRNA from 1 species